UACGUAGGGUGCAAGCGUUGUCCGGAAUUAUUGGGCGUAAAGAGCUUGUAGGCGGUCUGUCGCGUCUGCUGUGAAAAUCCGGGGCUCAACCCCGGACGUGCAGUGGGUACGGGCAGACUAGAGUGUGGUAGGGGAGACUGGAAUUCCUGGUGUAGCGGUGAAAUGCGCAGAUAUCAGGAGGAACACCGAUGGCGAAGGCAGGUCUCUGGGCCACUACUGACGCUGAGAAGCGAAAGCGUGGGGAGCAAACAGG
rnacentral:rRNA from 1 species